rnacentral:rRNA from 1 species
UACGUAGGGUGCGAGCGUUAAUCGGAAUUACUGGGCGUAAAGCGUGCGCAGGCGGUUCGUUAAGUUCGUUGUGAAAGCCCCGGGCUCAACCUGGGAAUGGCAUUUGGGACUGCAAGGCUGGAGUUUGGCAGAGGAGACUGGAAUUCCUGGUGUAGCAGUGAAAUGCGUAGAUAUCAGGAGGAACACCGAUGGCGAAGGCAGGUCUCUGGGCUGAAACUGACGCUCAAGCACGAAAGCGUGGGGAGCAAACAGG